rnacentral:rRNA from 1 species
UCGAGAGGCUUCGGCAAUGGGGGAAACCCUGACCGAGCGACGCCGCGUGGAGGAUGAAGGCCUUUGGGUCGUAAACUCCUUUCGUGGGGAAAGAAUGUAUCCGGGGUAAAUAAUCCCGGGUAUUGACGGUACCCCAAGAAGAAGCUCCGGCUAACUCCGUGCCAGCAGCCGCGGUAAUACGGGGGGAGCAAGCGUUGUUCGGAAUCACUGGGCGUAAAGGGAGUGUAGGCGGUUCGGUAAGUGGGAUGUGAAAUGCCCGGGCUCACCCCGGGACCUGCAUCCCAUACUGCUGAGCUUGAGUACAGGAGAGGGUGGGGGAAUUCCAGGUGUAGCGGUGAAAUGCGUAGAUAUCUGGAGGAACACCGGUGGCGAAGGCGCCCACCUGGCCUGCUACUGACGCUGAUGCUCGAAAGCUAGGGGAGCAAACGGGAUUAGAUACCCCCGUAGUCC